ensembl:lncRNA
ACAUAAACCACUACCAUUACAUUUCAGUCUCACCUCCUCCUCUCCGAAGGCUUCCAGUGCUAACACUGCAAUUUCGGGUUUCCUACAUAUCUGCGCAUGAAGGCUAUUCUCACUUCCAGUGCCCCUUCCUCUCCACCUCCCCCCAUUCACAAGUAACGCUGUUUACAACAGCAGUCUCUGACCCCGGCUCUCUCUCACUCUGAGAGUUCUGCUCUCGGGGGAACCGUGUGGGGGAGUUCCUCUCAUAGCAGCGCAGAUAAACUCACUUUCUCUUUAACCCUUUUCGCUUUGUCCACUAUUCAUACUUUCAGUCACACUUCUGUACGCCAUCAGACCAUCAAAACUGUUUGUCCCAUUCCCUUCAGAACCCACAGAUCAAACAAUACAGUUCUUCAGUUUCCACAAACACCCAGUACUUGGUCUCGUGAUUAGAGCACUCAAUUAUAAAAACUGUUCAUGUUACUUCAUUUACCUUCCCUCCUUAAGAAUUACAGUAACUGUAAGAAGGUAUGACACUUUAGGGUCCCGUUCCAGGGCCGCUUCUCAUCAUCUUCUAACUUACAGAUGAACCACCACUGAUUGCAAUACUUGAUUAAAGUUUUCUUACUCAGGGUGCCUCCAGGUUCCCCUGCAAUAUCCCACCAAUGUGCCAAUGCGCGUCCCAAAGGGGUUUGUUUGGGAAUUUCCUUCCCCUGGGAGCCUCCCAUGACGUUUACAAAAUUCUUAUCGGUUCAUUACUGCCUUAAGAUUUCCACAAGUAAUUCUCCAUACUCCAGAAUUUCCCCACACUAAUCCACAGUGCUCCGUCCAUCAGUCACAAUGGCACUGUGGACACAAAUGAUGCCAUAAGCCCCGGUACACCUCAUCACACACUAAACACAGCAUAACAGAAACGGGCCAACAUUCAUUUGUCGGGUGGAAUGUACACCUUUCCUCUGGUCCCUCUUCCCAAUCUAUGGAGUACAAACUCCCAUCCUUAUUCCAGUCGAUAAAAUACAGACAAACAGCUGACAGA